UAGACUGUGAGCUCCUUGAGGGCAGGAACU
rnacentral:miRNA from 1 species